UCCUGAGCAGAGCUAAGCCCUGGAGUCAGUUCAGAGAAGCCACCACCAGUCACCUCCUACCCCCACAAGGGUCUGUGGCCUAACAGAAAACCAGGGUGUAGUAUUUUCUACAGGAAGAAAACAAAGAAAAGCUAAGCAGUCAUUGACAGCCAGUGUCAAGGUCUGCUGUCAAAUGACAAUGUAAGUCUGGAGAUAAAAGUCAAAGGGCUAGGAAAUCUCAAGAGGGCUAAGAGAUUCUUGGCCCGGAUAAGGGCUUGUGUAAUGUGCCAAGGAACAAGGUCAGAGACUCUAAGUCUGGGCAGUCAGCAUAGACUCAAUCAGAUGCCUCCCAGGUCAGGCCCAGAGAACACAAAGAAUUCUCAGUGUUAAAAAAAAAAAAAAAAUCAAAGAACUGACUGGGUAGAAAUGUCCUCAAAACAAGGCAUCUAAGAUCACUGAGGGCUUUGGGGACAGUGGCAGGAUAAGACCAGACCAUACCUAACUGCCAGGGACUUGGUUCAUCAAAGGGGUUCUCUAGCAAUAGUCAAUAAAGUAGUUUAGACCAGGGCACUGACUGUUCAGAGCUGCGGCACUUUAGUACCACCUAGGCAUGUGGAGAAAGGAACUGGGAAUGGUCCGAAGUGGCGAAUGCUCACAUCAGCUCCCCAAUUUAUAAAAGCAGCUUCCCAAGUUUCCUUCUUCAGCCACAAAAUGAUCUAACAAGUGAGAUCCAGACUGGACUUGACCUUCUUUGAAAGUUAGCCUUUGAAGUCACUUGGGCUACAGACAUCUGCUGUCACAAUGCAUGUUUUGUGUUUCAAGUCCCUCACACCACAAACUCAAGAAAGUGAACGAGAGCUCUGCAAAAGAAACCAUGAGGGAAGUCAGUUGGCCUGUUUCCUCCCACUUCCUGAACCCAGACCUGCAGAGGCAGUGUGGUCACGACCCGAGGUAUCCUCAGUGCAUGGCUAGGAUGAGGCCGGGAUUACAGAUGUCUGCUGACCGCCAUAUCUAACUACAUUUUCAAUAUUUUGGAAGAAUUUCUAUGAAACUAAUUAUGCAUUACUCCCAUAUUUGAAAUAGAACUUGUCGAUGAAGCAGCCUCCGGAAUUCUCUGAAUUGCUCAAAUGUCUGACCUCAGAUUUCCCAGGAUCCUCCUCCUUCGAAGGCCUCUAACAGGAAGUCGGGAAAACAUGUACUGAGAGAACAAUGACCUAACCCUGCGGAAGGGAAAAGACCUGACCCCAAGAUGACUCAGCGACUGGACAACCGGAUGGGUAAAGGCACUUGCUGUCAGUCCUCACGACCUGAGCUCGAUCCCGGGAUCCCACAUGUUAGGAGCUAACGGAUUCCAGCAGUUUGUCCUAUAACUUCCACACAUGCCCAAGGCUCAAGUGUGCCCAUAUGUGAAUGUACACAAAAUAAAUAAAUGUAAGAACAGAUUCCCUUUACUUCUUC